rnacentral:rRNA from 1 species
GCUCGGGGGGGAGUAUGGUCGCAAGGCUGAAACUUAAAGAAAUUGACGGAAGGGCACCACAAGGCGUGGAGCCUGCGGCUUAAUUUGACCCAACACGGGGAAACUCACCAGGUCCAGACAUGCUUAGGAUUGACAGAUUGAUAGCUCUUUCUUGAUUGUAUGGGUGGUGGUGCAUGGCCGUUUUUAGUUGGUGGAGUGAUUUGUCUGCUUAAUUGCGAUAACGAACGAGACCUUAACCUGCUAAAUAGCCAGGCCCGCUUUGGCGGGUCGCCGGCUUCUUAGAGGGACUAUCGGCUCAAGCCGAUGGAAGUUUGAGGCAAUAACAGGUCUGUGAUGCCCUUAGAUGUCCUGGGCCGCACGCGCGCUACACUGACACCUGCAACGAGCGUAGAACCUUGGCCGAGAGGCCUGGGUAAUCUUUGGAACGGGUGUCGUGAUAGGGACAGAUUAUUGCAAUUAUUAAUCUCGAACGAGGAAUUCCUAGUAAACGCGAAUCAUCAGUUCGCAUUGAUUACGUCCCUGCCCUUUGUACACACCGCCCGUCGCUCCUACCGAUUGAAUGGUCCGGUGAAGUGUUCGGAUCGCG